UAACAAGGAUUCCCCUAGUAACUGCGAGUGAAGCGGGAAAAGCUCAAAUUUAAAAUCUGACAGUCUCAUUGUCCGAGUUGUAAUCUGGAGAAGCAUUUUCCGUGUCGGACCGUGUACAAGUCUCUUGGAACAGAGCGUCAUAGAGGGUGAGAAUCCCGUCCAUGACACGGACUACCGAUGCUUUGUGAUAUGCUCUCGAAGAGUCGAGUUGUUUGGGAAUGCAGCUCAAAAUGGGUGGUAAAUUCCAUCUAAAGCUAAAUAUUGGCGAGAGACCGAUAGCGAACAAGUACCGUGAGGGAAAGAUGAAAAGCACUUUGGAAAGAGAGUUAAACAGUACGUGAAAUUGUUGAAAGGGAAACGCUUGAAGUCAGUCGCGUUGUCUGAGACUCAGCCUUGCUUGCAUGGUGUAUUUCUCAGUUAACGGGUCAACAUCAAUUUUGGUUGGUGGAUAAAGGUAGAGGAAAUGUGGCACCUUCGGGUGUGUUAUAGUCCUUUGCUGCAUACACUGACUGGGAUUGAGGAACGCAGCACGCCACUAUGGCCGGAGGUUCGCCUCACGUAACGUGCUUAGGAUGUUGGCAUAAUGGCUUUAAGCGACCCGUCUUGAAACACGGACCAAGGAGUCUAACAUGCUUGCGAGUGUUAGGGUGGAAAACCCUUGCGCGUAAUUAACGUGAAAGUUGGGACCCUUCGCGGGGGCACCGACGCCCGGCCCUGAAGUUUACUGACGGCGCUGCGGUAGAGCACGUAUGUUGGGACCCGAAAGAUGGUGAACUAUGCCUGAAUAGGGUGAAGCCAGGGGAAACUCUGGUGGAGGCUCGUAGCGAUUCUGACGUGCAAAUCGAUCGUCAAAUUUGGG
rnacentral:rRNA from 1 species